rnacentral:rRNA from 1 species
AUUGAACGCUAGCGGGAUGCUUUACACAUGCAAGUCGAACGAGUGGCGGACGGGUGUGUAAUAUAUCGGACCGUGCCCAGUAGCGGGGGAUACCUACUCGAAAGAGUGGCUAAUACGGCAUACUAUUCGAUCGGCCGAUAUCCGCUUAGCUAGUGGGUGGGGUAAAGGCUCACAAAGGCCACGAUCCGUGGCGGGUUUGAGAGGACGACCAGCCACACUGGGACUGAGACACGGCCCAGACUCCUACGGGAGGCAGCAGUGGGGAAUUUUGGACAAUGGGGGAAACCCUGAUCCAGCAAUGCCGCGUGUAUGAGAAGGCCUUCGGAUUGUAAAGUACUUUUGGCAGGGAAGCGGUAUCUGCAGAAUAAGCACCGGCUAACUACGUGCCAGCAGCCGCGGUAAUUC